AUUGAACGCUGGCGGCAUGCCUUACACAUGCAAGUCGAACGACGCCAGGGGGCAACUCCUGGCGAGUGGCAAACGGGUGAGUAAUACAUCGGAAUGUAUCCCGUCGUGGGGGACAACCAGUCGAAAGACUGGCUAAUACCGCAUGAGAUCGAAAGAUGAAAGCGGGGGAUCCGCAAGGACCUCGCGCGAUGGGAGCAGCCGAUGUCGGAUUAGCUAGUUGGCGGGGUAAAAGCCCACCAAGGCGACGAUCCGUAGCUGGUUUGAGAGAACGACCAGCCACACUGGGACUGAGACACGGCCCAGACUCCUACGGGAGGCAGCAGUGGGGAAUUUUGGACAAUGGGCGCAAGCCUGAUCCAGCAAUGCCGCGUGCAGGAAGAAGGCCU
rnacentral:rRNA from 1 species